GAAAGAGAGAAAAGAAGAGAGAGAGAGAGAGAGAAAGAAAAAGAAGAAGAAGGAGGAGGAAGAAGAAGAGGAAGGGGGUUUGGUGGGUGCACGCUGUAUAUGCCUCGCCAAGUUGACUUGACUAUGUAACGUAAUACCCGAUCAAGGUUACCUCGAGUCUAUCAAGAAAUGCUGCAGAGAGAGCAUAAUUGAUGAACUUGAAGACCCAUUUUGUACUCAUAUGCUUGGAUGGAUAGACAGAGCGGAGAAAGGCCGAAAUACAGGUAAAGCCCACAAACUUUUAUCAGCAUGAAAAGUUCAGUUUUCUCUUGGUUUUCUUGCUUAUUCCUACAGAACUAUGUGUCAAGGUUAUCGUGUUGGACCUAUGGAUCACUAAAUCAAGUUCCAUAAUUUGCUC